AAUCGCGCCGGCGUGCUUCCAGCUUGCUGUCCCGCAGGCUGCCUUUAGGGGCAGGCUGGAGGCCCGCGCCACCCCCUCCCGAUCGUCUUAGCCUCUGCUGUGGGCCGGGACGUUUUUCCUUAGCACCUUGGCCGCAGGUCUCAGGUCCUAGGCGGGUGGGGCGGGGUGGGCUGCGUUUCCCUUUGCUCGGUGCCAAGGGUACCCUGCAUCCCGCGCCUCUGGCUUCUGCACAUUUCCAAACCUUCUUGCUGCGCUUAGCAUUCCCUCCUACCCCCUUCCCGCCUUCCCUUUGUGUUCCUAGACACAAAGUUUCAUUUAGGGUCCGAGUUUGCAGGAGGUCGUCAGGAGGCAUCGUGUCUGCAGUCUGAGCUGAGGAGUUGAGGCAGCACGACUGACCUGCCACCUUGCCUUUGUUGCAAGGGGGAGGAGCCCUGAGCUUUGAAACUGGACAAGCUCUCAGGAGGUCCCUUUGACGGUUAGGUUUGCACACUGAGUCUUGGGCCUGGGUGGUGGUAGGGCCCCCUGGCCCCUCUUCCUAAGGUGGCUUUUACUCCCGCCCUUUACUGGUAAAAUUCCCAGUAGGACAGUUGGCAGACGAGCUGGGCAGGGAGCUGCCAACCAGACCUGGCCCUGUUUCCUGGGUUCCUAGGGUGCUGACUUCUCCCCUACCUCCACUUCCUCUCCCACCUUAGAGCCCCAAGUGAUGGCACCAUCUCUCCUGUCCCGUCUUCCUCAGGCGGGUUGGGACUCGCAGAGCGAUCUAACAAGCAGAGGAGGAAAAUAACAACAGAAUAACUGUAAAGGGAAGGAAUGAGUAAUAAAGCCAACCCAGGCAGGGAGGAGGGCUUUCAUGUUUAAGAGAUGCUAUUUGCUUUUUAGGUCAUAGGCUGCAAAAACAGGCUUUGAUCCGAAGUGGGCGAAUAAUUUAUUGAGAAAGUUUGCGUGGUAGGGAAGAAAAGGGAUGUUUGUUUGAUCUGGAGGCCUCUCGGUUGUCCCAAGUGCUGUUGGCUGUUGUUUCGAGUGGAAAAGCAUUUGGUUCCACAGCAAAUGCCUCCCGGAGGGAAGUCCUUGCCCCAGGCAGCCAGAGCAGUGAAUGUUGGUUUUGAAACUGUUUAGCCAAGGGUCUCCCCAGCACUUUUGGAGCUGAAGUGUUUAAGAGUCGAGUUGUUUGGGCUCAGGAUGCAGCAAAUAUUUCCAGAACAUUUCCCAUCUAACAUGCUUUUCCUUUCCCUAAAUUGCCUGGCUAAACAGCCAAUAGCCCUGAUCCAAGAGGCUGUCGGAAGUCUCCACUUAGCUUUCAUUGACAGCUGAGGUGGCACUGCUGACCCCCAACCCCCAGGUCCUCUCAGAAUCUUGAGGUCAGGCUUUCAACCCUGGUUUCCACGUUCUUGAGGUUGAGCGCAGGGUAUUCUGGUGAAUCGCUGUGCCCGUUAACGCCGAGGUACUUGUCUUUACAGCCAAGAACCAAGUCAGAGGCUUCCAGUCCAAAUUCUUCCCAGCUUAUCCAGCAGGCAGGCUCUUUGUGGGCCUCACAGUUCUCCCUUUGGGUUCUCUGCCGGAAGGCCAGGGCAGAGUUGGGGGGCAGGGGGCUGCCUGGCUUGUCCUGUCCUCCACACGGGAACGUCACUGCGUAGCUCAGCGUUCAGGAACCCAAGAGGGUUCUCAGACAAUCCACAGGAAUCCGGAGUAGCCCAGCCAGAUUCUGGUUUCGUAGGCCUGUGCACUGCACACUCUGGCCCCUGCGGGGGUGGGGUGGAGGCGGGGAGGGGGGGCCCACAACGUUAUUUGGGGUCAGGCAGUCUAGCUUUGAAUGCUGGCUUUGCAGUCACCAGCUGCGGCAGUUGCUCCAUGCCUCAAUUUCUCUAUCUGCACUUGGGCCUAAUAACAGUACCUCUCUCGUGGUGGGUGUCUGGAUUAAGUGCUACGUUGCAAGAAGAAGACUAAACCCGAAGCCAGGCCUGUGGUAAGCACUUGGCUUGGCUAGGCCAGAGAGCCAGCUCCCUUCUCUAAAGAAGGGAUCAGAGGACCCUGCACUUGCCAAUGGGCAGCCAUCCGUGGGAGCGAGCGGACUGAACUUUGCCCUCUCUGAGGUGGAAAGUAGGGUGAGACGGUGCCAAAGGACAAAGUAGACAAAGCCCAUUUCUGUCUCCCAGGAUCCCCUUGGUAUGUCCCCAGAACUGGGAGCAGAGGGUGGGUGUGGGCAUAGUGUUCGAGGGAUCUGGGUGCCCCUUGGGACACUUGCAGUGGGCAGUGAUGGGUGUUGGAGGAGGGCUCAGGCUCCCCUGUGCGUGCGGAAGCAAAUCUGAGCAUCUGUGUGUCACGAACUCAUUUUUGCCACGGCAGCUAGUGUCCCUGAGAAGGCGUUAAAGUUAACAAGAGAUAGGAAAGAGUGGGGCUCUGACCCCCGUUUUUUAUACAGCUUUAAGAGUGUGCCACUCUUGUUUUCUGAACGUCUGGCCUUCCCGACUCAAGCAGGCUCUGAGGACGGGUUUUCCAGCCGAAAUAUCAUUAAAUUGUAUUAGCAUCUUAUUACACACACGCCUUAGCGGUCUGCCUCAGACAGGGAGAGUUUUUGUUUCUCUUUGAAAGAUUGUGUCUGGAAUGGUAAAUUGCCUGCUUGAAAGCCUCCCCCUGCUCCCCCCUUCUAAGGAGGAGGACGAAAUCCUGCUGUGUGUGGUGGCAGGCGGGUAGGCCUGGUGGCCCCCAGAGAGGAGAGGCCGGAGGCCAGGUUGGGGUGUUUUAACUGCCCAGGGAGCUGCUGCAGUCGCAGGCCUGAAAGGCCCACUGUUUCCAGGGUCAGCUGGAAGGGCGUUCAUGGAGGCCCAGGGUGUUUAUUUGAGUUUAUUUGCGGAGAGGUCUUUAAAGGGGGCUGGCAUUGGGCAUGGGUAUUGCAAGUCCAGACCCGAGGCCCCCACUCAGACCAGUGGCCAGUGCUGCCAAGAAAACAUCUGCCACCAAAUUGCUGCCCUAUUACUGAGUUGACAUUGAUCAUUAGCCAGGAGCCCAACCAAAUAAAGCCUCCUGGAAAAUGUGUGAGGUUAAGAUGGGGAAGGCAGGCUGUGCAAACAGGACAAAAUGUUGAGCCGGGGUGUUUGCUCCCGCAAGCGGCGAGCAGGCCGGCUGGGCUCUGUUGCCCCACACUUCCAGAGGGUGGGGACAGGAGCACACCCAGCACGCCAUGUGUACCAAGCCCCUUUUAUACGCUGGGUGCAACUCCAGGGGGCACUGGGGCGCCAGCAGGGAUCCAAAUGGUUGUGCUUUUUACUGUGGCGGAAUGUACAUUCCCAAGGAGGACAUUCAACAAGUAGAUCAACAAACACAGAUUGUGACGGUUGUUCUGAAGAAGCUGAGUAACAGGGCGGUGGGCUUUCCGUAAAUAAAGCAGCUGGCAUCAACCUCUGUGCCAUCUGAGCUGAAACUUGAAGAAUGGAGAGUCAGACGGGCCUAGACUGCAUGGAAUAUGACAGGCAGAGCGCACACCUGAGCACAGGUCUUGAACCCAUGGACUCUUGGAUUGUUAGAGGGAGGCCAGUUUCGCUGGGAAAGGGAGUGGUGGUCAGUACGCGGGAGCCAGGGGCCGGGUCAUGUGGGGUCUUAUGGUCAGAAGCUGGAGUGUUGUCUUUUGAUCAGCAGGAAGCCUUUGAAGGAUUUUAAAUAGGGCAUGACAUGAUCUGAUUCAUGCUUUUUGAAGAUCAUUCAGGCUGCUGUCUGCCUUUGUGGGGUAGGAUUUCAGGAGCACUUUUCUGUCCCUCUAAGCAGGCACCUUGUGACCCUGAGGGCUUCUCCCGUAGCAGACCUUUGCUUUGGGACAGAUUGGAGGAGCCGGGGGAGGGAAACCAGAGGUGGGGACCGAAUCUCGGCACUCCCUCUCCCAGCUGCAUGUGCAGCCCGGGAUGUGCAGCUUUGGGAAAAGAAUCCUCCCCGACCCCUCUGCUGGGUUGGAGACGGGGUCCAAGGGGCAAAGGGCUGUCCCACAGGGGAGCUCAGACCUCCUGAGGGGCUUCUUAGCCACUGGCAGUAGAGGCUCACCUGAGGCAGGGAGGCCUUUGGAACAGACUUGUUUCAAAGGAAAGCAGCAAAGCGGUGGCUUCCCUCUGAAACCUAGUUAUUAUUCCAAUUAAGCCACCACAAAAUCUGUUCCUUUAAUAACACCCUGCCCGGGAGGACUCUGGGGUGUUUCACGGAGGGCAGGUUGGACAGGGAGCUGGCUGGGGGGCGGGUGCAGGUCUGCACGCCGACAGGUUACUGGUCCUGGGCAGCAGGAACCCGCGUGACGAGCAGGGCAUUGGCAGGCAAGGUGUCCCGCUGUGGGGCACCUUCCUCACCAUAGAGGCCCGCUGCCUCACUGAGGAGCCCACCCUCAGGUGGGCCCUGGUCGGAGGACUGCCCGCCCGGCCUGAGUCGGCCGUGGUGUUAAUAACCAGCACCCAUACGGGGUGCCAACCGCUGUGCUAAGGGUUUUAUGCGGCUCUCACUUACUCACCAGCUGAUUCUGGCCCACGAAUGUGUUUAGUUUGGCCCUGUCGAAGUGUUUGAAAAAUCCUGAAUCAGUUGCCAACAUUUUAAGUUCAGGAGAUGUAUGUAAAAAUCCAGAUCCAGUUUGUGUCCUUUGGGAGGUAUGUCUGGUGCGGAGUGAAGGUGGGAUUGAACUUGACCUCCCUGAAUCCAGAGCUGCUGCUUUUAAGCCAUGGGAGAGCCUGGCUUGGAAGCGCCCUGUUUGCUGGAAGUGGAGAGGCAAGCAGUUCAGGGAGAGGAUUGCAGGGGAAACAGGGAGAGCAUUGCAGGGGAAACAGGGAGAGCAUUGCAGGGGAAACAGGGAGAGCAUUGCAGGGGAAACAGGGAGAGCAUUGCAGGGGAAACAGGUGCGUGCAUUUCGAGCACCUCUUCCUCCACUCCUGCCCCGCCUGUGACAGGGCUGUGUUGGCCACAUGUAGGCAAGGGUCAGAGUUGUGUUAAAGUCACCUCUGUCCCCUCAAGCCCCGGAGGACAGCAAAGAUGGGCACCUGUGGGUGGCAGAACAUUAUUGCCCCAUGCAGUCCGUGACCUGAGCCGCCGGCUGCAGCACGGAGGCAGAGGAGUCGAAAGGUCAGGAGCCCGGUCUCCUAAGGCGGACUUCUCCCGAGCACUAUUUUCCUGGCUCAGUCACUUUACUUCUGAAUUUCAUUUUCUUCUCCUGCGAGAGAGAAGCAGCCAUCAUGCCUGGCAGCACCAAAAGGCUGUUCUGAGGUCUCGGUGAGGGGAGGUCUCUUCGUAUCAGCACGCCCUUCUCCCCAAGCCGUGGGCGUGUAGCAAUUUGAGCCCUCUUUGCUGCCUCCCCGACGGCCGAGGUGCUCCGCGCCCAGUAUCCCUCUACCUCCACACCCUCCACGGAGCCCAUGGCCUGCAUCCUUGGAGCUGGGCAGUGAGCAGCCCCAACGAGCCUUCCUGUCCUCCUGAGCCUGCUGUUGGGGGACCCGGGCGGAGAGAAGCUCCUGGUUAAGGUCAAGUUCGAGGCAGGAGGGUCUUUCUAGGUAGCUCAGCGUUCUGAGUGGUCAUACCCCACCUUAGAGAGCCAGUGCUCGCCGGUUUCUGCAAGGCCACAGUAAAAUAAGGUGAAUCCCAGGGCUUGGCAGAAGCAGACUUGGGGUGACAGCAGGUGGCAAAUGAGAUUCUGAGGUGGGGAGGAGCCCGGCUGGCCCGCCACUGGGAUGAGCCCUGCGGCCUUCUCCCCACUGCCACGGGCUCCGUGUCCUUCGCUGUGGACAGUGAGGCAACCCCGUUCCAGACAGGAUCAUGGAGGAAAGCUCUCUGGGCCCCGAGCCCCAGCUCUGUUCUCCCACUCGGACUUAGCCACUGACGAGCUGUGAGACCUGGGAGCGGGUUACCAAGCCAUUCAGUGGGCUCCCCUCCCAGAGGGCACAAGGGCAGGCUCUGCCACCCAGGACUCGGCAGGAUUAGGGGAAAUAGUGGGUGGGAAAGCACUUCCAACAGGCAGGAGCUGACAAGGGCACAAAGGCAGCUCAGUGUGGACUCGGGGAUCAGACCACGUGGAUUCAAAUCCCAGUUCAGCCAGUCAUGGGCAGGACAAGGCACCGAGCCUCCUCAGCAAAUGAGGCUGAGAGCUCACACCUCACUGGGUCGUUAGGAACAUGAGCCGGCCUGGCCGCGUGCGUGGGGAAGGGCUCCGUGUGGGCGGGCUGCCCUUCCUUCCCUGAAGCUCAGUACUCUGGUGGAGAUAAAGUUGGUCUGUGCUUUUACCUAGAGAAGGACACUGGGGAGAAAGGAGGCCGGCCAGCCCUGUCACCCUGGGCCCGGUGUCUCGGGGACCCAGCUUAGAGCCUCCCUGCCACCACCCCAUUCCACUGCCCUCUGGCUGCCCCUUUCAGGAUGUGGCCUCAGUGCUGUCUGGGCUAGCUUGUCCCCUGCCCCAGAUUCCUGGUCCUCCCGGAAGAAUCAGCCUUGUGCCCUGUGCCCUCCCUGCUCGGCACCCAGCUGGGCACCCUUUGGGGUGGAUCCUCUGGUGGGCCUGAGCGGCCUUGAGUAGAAGCUGCAACUGCUCUGAGUUCCCGUCGUGGCUCAGUGCUUAAAGAAGCUGACUGUGACCCAUGAGGGUACGGGUUCGAUCUCUGGCCUCAGUAGGUUAAGGAUCUGGCAUUGCCGUGAGCUGUGGUAUAGGUCGCAGACACGGCUUGGAUCUGGCGUUGCUGUGGCUGUGGUGUAGGCCAGCGUCUACAGCUCCGAUUCGACCCCUAGCCU
rnacentral:lncRNA from 1 species